GUAUGUAAGGGCUAUCUGGCUGUGACAUCUGUCACCCCAUUGAUCUCCAGGGUUGAUUCGCCUAAUCUGGCUUGCUAGGCCGGUGUCCCCUUUCUCCCACAGUGAUCCAAGUGCAUCUCACCCGAAGCUAUGUGCUGGCUCGAAGAGGACUACCACCUCCAAUAGAGGAGGGUCAUUUCUUGGUCAAGGGUAUAUGAGUAGCUGUGCUCCACUACUAGAAUCUCCAAACAAGCUCUCAACUGUGACUUAUGGAAGACCCACAGCACAAUGGUGGACAAAUUUGGAGUUUCUGUUGAUGAUAUGAAUAAUUAUUACUGAAAUUAUUU
rfam:Cavia porcellus supercont2_59 genomic scaffold, whole genome shotgun sequence.